rnacentral:tRNA from 1 species
AAGGUUCUAGUAAAACAUAUUACAUUACUUUGUCAGAGUAAAAUUGUGAGUUUAAACCCCACGUACCUUA